AUUAUAUCAAGUUGUCUAGCUCCUACCACUGCACUGAGAUUAAUUACAUCAAGUUGUCCAGCUCCUACCUCUGCACUGAGAAAAAUGAUAUCAGUAUCAUUAUAGUGGAAUAUUGUUUGGCUGGCAGAAAAACCUCUCAUUGGUUGUUUACCAUCCAAACAUAUCAAACACUAACUCCAAUCUAGUGCAAACCCCCCCAGAAGAAAAAAAAAUUAAAAUGUGUUCAACAGUAGAAUGGGAGGUUACUAUGCAUUUGUUAUACAGAGUUUUAUUUUAUGUUAAAAAAAAAUUAU